AACGAACGCUGGCGGCAGGCCUAACACAUGCAAGUCGAGCGAAGCCUUCGGGCUUAGCGGCGGACGGGUGAGUAACGCGUGGGAACGUGCCCUUUGCUACGGAAUAGCCCCGGGAAACUGGGAGUAAUACCGUAUGUGCCCUUCGGGGGAAAGAUUUAUCGGCAAAGGAUCGGCCCGCGUUGGAUUAGGUAGUUGGUGGGGUAAUGGCCUACCAAGCCGACGAUCCAUAGCUGGUUUGAGAGGAUGAUCAGCCACACUGGGACUGAGACACGGCCCAGACUCCUACGGGAGGCAGCAGUGGGGAAUCUUAGACAGUGGGGGAAACCCUGAUCUAGCCAUGCCGCGUGAUCGAUGAAGGCCUUAGGGUUGUAAAGAUCUUUCAGUGGGGAAGAUAAUGACUGUACCCACAGAAGAAGCCCCGGCUAACUCCGUGCCAGCAGCCGCCGUAAAAA
rnacentral:rRNA from 1 species